rnacentral:rRNA from 1 species
AGGUACCUCCAAAGGAAGCUCCGGCUAACUCCGUGCCAGCAGCCGCGGUAAUACGGAGGGAGCAAACGUUGUUCGGAUUUACUGGGUGUAAAGGGUGCGUAGGCGGCUACGUGUGUCAGAGGUGAAAGCUCACGGCCCAACCGUGGAACUGCCUUUGAAACUGCGUACUUGAGUCCGAGAGAGGAUGGUGGAAUUCCUGGUGUAACGGUGAAAUGUGCAGAUAUCAGGAAGAACACCGGUGGCGAAGGCGGCCAUCUGGCUCGGUACUGACGCUGAGGCACGAAAGCUAGGGUAUCGAACGGGAUUAGAUACCCCGGUAGUCCUAGCCGUAAACGAUGUCCACUAGGUGUCGGAGGUCCUACCCCUUCGGUGCCGGAGCUAACGCAUUAAGUGGACCACCUGGGGAGUACGCUCGCAAGGGUGAAACUCAAAGGAAUUGACGGGGGCCAGCACAAGCGGUGGAGCAUGUGGUUUAAUUCGAUGCUACACGAAGAACCUUACCUGGGCUUGGCAUGUAGGUAGUAGUGAAGCGAAAGCGGAACGACCCUUCGGGGAGCUUACACAGGUGCUGCAUGGCUGUCGUCAGCUCGUGCCGUGAGGUGUCGGGUUAAGUCCCGUAACGAGCGCAACCCCUGUCCUUAGUUAUACGUGUCUAAGGAGACUGCCCGGGACAACUGGGAGGAGGGUGGGGAUGACGUCAAGUCAUCAUGGCCUUUAUGCCCAGGGCUACACACGUGCUACAAUGGCCGGUACAGAGGGUAGCGAAGCCGCGAGGUGAAGCCAAUCCCAGAAAGCUGGUCCCAGUUCGGAUUGGAGUCUGGAACUCGACUCCAUGAAGGUG